ACUGGUAGAUGGCUGUACAGUAUUCAAAGAAAAGUUGGUGCAAUGAGGAGAACAGGACGAAAUAGAAAGGAGGAAACAGUAAUAUCUAGGUUGCGUUUUGGACAUACAAGGUUAAACAGUAAUUUAUUUAAAAUAGGAAAACAUCGAAAUGGAAGUUGUGAUUUUUGUGGUCAAGAAGAGACGGGGGGUGUUUAAAGUUAGCGUCCCGAUCCACACUCCAUUCCAGUAGAUGGCGGUAAUGCACAUCUAAAAGUUGCUUGCCAACCGCCAUAAAAAAA